CCAAGGCGCGUGGGUUCGAAACCCGCAGGGGACAACAUUACAUCCAGAGCCAACUUCUCAGCUCCUAAAAUAAUGAGAUGUGAACCUGCCAAGUAGGUACCUUCGGGCGGAUCUACUACUUGAUUUAGCUGAUUUUUCCUGGGCUGGGAACCUGUAUUGCAUGUACCAAAUCCUGUCUUUCAUUAAUUUUCCUAUGUUCCUGUUAUAUUCUUGGUGUUGUUCAACACUAAGCAUUCCUCCUGUAUAACCAACUCUUGCCUGUAUUUAAUAUCACACAAGGACUUGUCAUAAGCACUGCUUGCAUAUGAGUAUAACAGAAGA
rnacentral:sRNA from 1 species